GUGGGGAAUAUUGGACAAUGGGCGCAAGCCUGAUCCAGCCAUGCCGCGUGAGUGAUGAAGGCCUUAGGGUUGUAAAGCUCUUUCAGUGGGGACGAUAAUGACGGUACCCACAGAAGAAGCCCCGGCUAACUUCGUGCCAGCAGCCGCGGUAAUACGAAGGGGGCUAGCGUUGUUCGGAUUUACUGGGCGUAAAGCGCACGUAGGCGGAUCGUUAAGUCGGGGGUGAAAUCCUGGAGCUCAACUCCAGAACUGCCUUCGAUACUGGCGAUCUUGAGUCCGGAAGAGGUGAGUGGAACUCCUAGUGUAGAGGUGAAAUUCGUAGAUAUUCGGAAGAACACCAGUGGCGAAGGCGACUCACUGGCCCGUUACUGACGCUGAGGCGCGAAAGCGUGGGGAGCAAACGGGAUUAGAUACCCGUGUAGUCC
rnacentral:rRNA from 1 species